UACGUAGGGGGCUAGCGUUGUCCGGAAUCAUUGGGCGUAAAGCGCGCGUAGGCGGCCCGGUAAGUCCGCUGUGAAAGUCAAAGGCUCAACCUUUGAAUGUCAGCGGAUACUGCCGGGCUAGAGUCCGGAAGAGGCGAGUGGAAUUCCUGGUGUAGCGGUGGAAUGCGCAGAUAUCGGGAGGAACACCAAUGGCGAAGGCAGCUUGCUGGGACGGUACUGACGCUGAGGCGCGAAAGCGUGGGGAGCAAACAGG
rnacentral:rRNA from 1 species